GGUGAGAUGGCCGAGCGGUCUAAGGCGCCAGACUAAGGACCAGGGCGAUCGUCGUCCAAUAUAUCUGGUCCUCCGGGGCGUGGGUUCGAAUCCCACUCUCAUCA